rnacentral:rRNA from 1 species
GACGAACGAGGGAGGAGGGAGGAACACAUGCAAGUCGAACGGAAAGGCCCUGCUUUUGUGGGGUGCUCGAGUGGCGAACGGGUGAGUAACACGUGAGUAACCUGCCCUUGACUUUGGGAUAACUUCAGGAAACUGGGGCUAAUACCGGAUAGGAGCUCCUGCUGCAUGGUGGGGGUUGGAAAGUUUCGGCGGUUGGGGAUGGACUCGCGGCUUAUCAGCUUGUUGGUGGGGUAGUGGCUUACCAAGGCUUUGACGGGUAGCCGGCCUGAGAGGGUGACCGGCCACAUUGGGACUGAGAUACGGCCCAGACUCCUACGGGAGGCAGCAGUGGGGAAUAUUGCACAAUGGGCGGAAGCCUGAUGCAGCAACGCCGCGUGCGGGAUGACGGCCUUCGGUGUGUAAACCGCUUACGCCUGUGACGAAGCGUGAGUGACGGUAAUGGGUAAAGAAGCACCGGCUCCCUACGUC